rnacentral:lncRNA from 1 species
NNNNNNNNNNNNNNNNNNNNNNNNNCAUUUUUUUUCUUUCUGCUUUUAAUGUUAAUUACCCUAAUUUCUUUAUUUUUCACAUCAUUGUCAAGUGAAUAAAUGUGAUCCCGGUGAAUUAUGAUUAACUGAAAGCUGUUACAUAUAUGCAUAUAUACAUAUAUACAUAUGUACAUAUAAGUACAAACGCUCAUGCUUUUACAAGAGCUAAUAAAAUAAGAACGCAAUUGAAUAAAAAUGUCGACAAUUAAAAUAAAUAAAAAUGAAGGUAAUCGAGUACAUGUAUGGAUAAAAAGUGCCAUCGGUACGCCUAAUAGAAGGCAAUACAAACACAAGCAUAUAAUGUACCCAUAUUUUCCUAUGUACAAGUCACCCUAUCGAGCCAGAGAUUCAAGAACACGGAAGGCAUAUUGGCCAUGUGUAGAUAAAUAUCCCUGGCAUACACAUCAAAAAAGAUGGGUUGAUCAUGCAAAUUUAAAUAUCAAAUUUUUUUCUGAGUUUACAAAUAAAUCAGCAGAUAAAAAAAACUUAUUUGAAACAUGCCAUACUUUACCAUAUAAUGGUAUUAAUUGCUUAUUUUGGAAUCCGAUUUAUAUGAAUAGUUAUAAAUUUUUAUCAAAAAAACACAAAAACGAGGAAAAGCAAGAACAGGAUGAAAGAGCAGGGGAAAAUUCAGCUGACCAAACAAUGGUAGACGAUAAUAGUCAAACAGAACCAAAAGAAUGUAUCCAAGGAGUAGCAAAUCGGAGUAGUCAAACAGAAUGGAAUAACCAAAAGGCUAUAAAAAUAAAUAAUUACUACUAUAUUGUAGAAAGUAAAGUAAAAAAUGAUAUAUAUUUCUAUUUGAAGUAUAUAAAAUAUAGUAUGAGACCUUUUAGAGGAAAAAUAAUAGGCGACAUUUAUUUGAAUGGGAAAAAAAUUCGAAGUGAUGUGUCUACAAAAGGUAUUGUUUAUGGAGAAUGGAAAUACUCAUUUCCUCACAUUCACAUUAAGCAUAAGUUAAAUAAUACUAUUUUGACUAGCCAUAAUACAACUUUAAAUGAUAAUACUGAUAAGGAAUUGCAAACAUUUGAUGAUAAUAAUAUUAUAAACGAUUUAGUCAUAGUAGAUAAAUACACAUACAGACCACCAUUACCAAAAUGUUUUA